GGUGAACGCUAGCGGCAGGCUUAAUACAUGCAAGUCGAGGGGCAGCAGGGUGUAGCAAUACAUCGCUGGCGACCGGCAAACGGGUGCGGAACACGUACGCAACCUUCCUUCAAGUGGGGAAUAGCCCGGGGAAACCCGGAUUAAUACCCCGUAAUAUUAUGAGGCGGCAUCACCUUAUAAUUAUAGUUCCGACGCUUGAAGAUGGGCGUGCGCCUGAUUAGGUAGUUGGCGGGGUAACGGCCCACCAAGCCUACGAUCAGUAACUGGUGUGAGAGCACGACCAGUCACACGGGCACUGAGACACGGGCCCGACUCCUACGGGAGGCAGCAGUAAGGAAUAUUGGUCAAUGGACGCAAGUCUGAACCAGCCAUGCCGCGUGGAGGAUGAAGGUCCUCUGGAUUGUAAACUUCUUUUAUUUGGGAAGAAACCCAUAUUUUCUAAUGUGGUUGACGGUACCAAGUGAAUAAGCACCGGCUAACUCCGUGCCAGCCGCCGCCGUAACAC
rnacentral:rRNA from 1 species